AUUGAACGCUGGCGGAAUGCUUUACACAUGCAAGUCGAACGGCAGCACGGGGGCAACCCUGGUGGCGAGUGGCGAACGGGUGAGUAAUACAUCGGAACGUGCCCAGUCGUGGGGGAUAACGUAGCGAAAGUUACGCUAAUACCGCAUACGAUCUACGGAUGAAAGCGGGGGACCGUAAGGCCUCGCGCGAUUGGAGCGGCCGAUGUCAGAUUAGGUAGUUGGUUAGGUAAUGGCGCACCAAGCCGACGAUCUGUAGCUGGGUUGAGAGGACGCACAGCCACUCUGGGACUGAGACUCGGCCCAGACUCCUACGGGAGGCAGCAUUGGGAAAUUUUGGACAAUGGGCGCAAGCCUGAUCCAGCCAUUCCGCGUGCAGGACGAAGGCCUUCGGGUUGUAAACUGCUUUUGUACGGAACGAAAAGGCUCUGGUUAAUACCUGGGGCUCAUGACGGUACCGUAAGAAUAAGCACCGGCUAACUACGUGCCAGCCGCCGCCGUAA
rnacentral:rRNA from 1 species